ACUCUUGACCUCGGAUCAGGUAGG
rnacentral:rRNA from 1 species